GAAACAUGUAAAUGUCUUGUAAUGUCCUAGUCAAAGCCCAGACAUCAAUCUAACAGAGAGUCUGUGGCACCGAUGAAACCCAACUAAACUGGAGCUGAAGCAGUUGUGCAGGCUGAAAAACAGACAAACACCAAGGGGGGUGAAUACUUUUGCAACCUAGGGCUAACCCUAACCCUGUUAAUGCUACUGUCUGGACGACUGCUGCUGUGUGAACACUGGCUUCAGGACGCAGGAGAUUGUACAGCGUCUGAAGGAGCGUGAUGCUGAAGGCUGUGCUGUGAGUUCUCCAGUCAGAGGAUACACAAAGGUUUUAAGGUCAAAUCCUUAUUUACUGCCAACGUGACGGAAACUGAUUUUGCAGACGGUUUUAUCCGUGACUUGCAGAGCGACUCUGCGUAUCGUCUGUUCCAGCUGAAUCAGAGGACUCUGGCCCUCAGCAGUGGGAGCUGGAGGUGUGUCCAGUGAAAGCCUUCGCUUUGGCAUCAUCUUACAAUCAUCAAAAACCUGCAAAUCAGGCUGGGCUUUUUCCCCCAUGACGCAGGCGAUGCAGGAUCGACGCCCUCGAAGAUUAAAAAGAGCCCCACGUGUUGUGUGGUUUUACACUCUACUCAGCAGCUAACCACAGAUAUCCGUCACCUGACCUGUCCUUACAGACAUGUAGCCCAAACGUAUCGUAUCGCUUGUGUUCGUCUGCAUCGUUUGUGUCGCUAAAGCCGACGUGCCGCAGCCGACGGCUCUGGAGUACAACAUCACGUCCACCGACUGUGGAGUCACUAAACUGUGCUGCUCGAAUAUAACUAAUUGUGAUCCUUCAGAAAACUCCACCUGAUUUUUCACUUCCAUUCAACUGAACAGCCAAACUGUGUUCUUCGAGCUCAGUGGCUGGACGUCCGGAUACGUGGCACUGGGACUCGCUGCCAUUAACCAAUCAGAGGGAGGCGAUGUGGUGUUUGUCUGCGCCAACAACAACACUGUCUUCGCUAACAGCACUUUCUUUUUUGAAACUGCUUCACAAAAUGGCACGAACUUGACCUCCUCUAACGUGUCCACCGUCGACUCUGUUCAAGGUGCUCUAAAAUAAAACGAUGGCCUUAUUCAGUGUUCCUUCAACACCACUGCCAAUCUCACCAUCAACUCUUUGGGCAACUUGACCUUGAGUAACACAACCACUGUUUACUUGACCAUCAUGACCGAAAGCACAAACGGAACACAACUAGGAGAACCAACCCUGGUAUUUAACAGCACCGUAACGUUAGACCUGUCUAAUCGCACCAGCCAAAUGUCCACACAGAGUCCUGCGACUUCAGCAACUACAGCAAACCGCAGCGACUCGCUAGUCAGCCUCAGCACUCGAGUGUUGGCUGUGAUUCUCAGUGCCAUGAGUCUCGACUUCAUCACUUCACACAGUCCAUGAAGUAUAAAUGUGUGUGUGUGUGUGUGUGAGUGUGUGUGUAAAAUAUGAAACCACCAUUAACCGGCUGAACAUGAAGUCAAAUCUGGGACCAUUUUCAGAUAACUAAAAACCAUAAAAACUUAACACUCCAUUUUGUAAAUAUUUCACACGUUUCUCAGCUUUAACUCAAAUUUAAAAACACCUUUGAAGAAUGAAAAAAUAAAUAAAAAACAAUAAAAAAAGGAAAAUGAAAAUAAAUGACUGUCUUGUAAUCACUUUUUUUUAUCUGUAAAACUUUCAUUAUAAAGCAAAUUUCUUGCUUCAUUAAAGUUUGUUACUUCCUGCUUUCAGUUGUUUGUGAAUUUGAUUCUUUAGGUUCUCAAACUCAAUUUUAUAUAUAA